rnacentral:lncRNA from 1 species
CCCAGAAAUAUGCCCAGAAAAAGAAUCAGAUCUACCGUGAACAGUAUACCAAUUCGAAAAAAAAAUUAUAUCUGUUUUUUUAUCAAUUGAUUUGUUAUUGGGUCCUUAUCUAUAUUAAUUCUCACUUAGAACUUUCAUAGGACCCCGUUUAAUGUGGACAUCUACACUGGAAAUAGAAUUAACAAUAGGCAUAUGCAUACAGUAUUUUUAUCAAAGAAUCUUG